AGACUUUAGAAAGAGCCAUACUGACAGCCUUGAGGACUUGGUGAUUUCGAACCUACAGGUCAAAUGUCUCCGAUGGGUCCAGAAAGGUUGCCUUUUCUAAAGAAGUCGGCUCGGUAAACAGGAGGACCCAAUCACAGGUGCCAUUGCUUGAAUGAACUUGAGAGCAACCCCAUACUUGGUCCCUAAAUGACCCACUAGCAAAACUGAAAGACCUUUUUUUCUUCCUGCAAACACAUACACACAUAACACAUAAUUCAGAUUGCU
rnacentral:lncRNA from 1 species